GAUGAACGCUGGCGGCGUGCCUAAUACAUGCAAGUCGAGCGAACAGACGAGGAGCUUGCUCCUCUGACGUUAGCGGCGGACGGGUGAGUAACACGUGGAUAACCUACCUAUAAGACUGGGAUAACUUCGGGAAACCGGAGCUAAUACCGGAUAAUAUAUUGAACCGCAUGGUUCAAUAGUGAAAGACGGUUUUGCUGUCACUUAUAGAUGGAUCCGCGCCGCAUUAGCUAGUUGGUAAGGUAACGGCUUACCAAGUCGACGAUGCGUAGCCGACCUGAGAGGGUGAUCGGCCACGCUGGAACUGAGACACGGUCCAGACUCCUACGGGAGGCAGCAGUAGGGAAUCUUCCGCAAUGGGCGAAAGCCUGACGGAGCAACGCCGCGUGAGUGAUGAAGGGCUUCGGAUCGUAAAACUCUGUUAUUAGGGAAGAACAAAUGUGUAAGUAACUAUGCACGUCUUGACGGUACCUAAUCAGAAAGCCACGGCUAACUACGUG
rnacentral:rRNA from 1 species